rnacentral:rRNA from 1 species
GAGUGAAAGAGUACCUGAAACCGUGCGCUUACAAUCCGUCAGAGCCCUCUCUUAGCAGUGGGGUGAUGGCGUGCCUUUUGAAUGGAGCCUGCGAGUCAGGGACAUGUCGCGAGGUUAACCCGGGUGGGGUAGCCGUAGCGAAAGCGAGUCUGAAUAGGGCGUAUCCACACAACAGUGUGUGGUGUAGUGGUGUGUUCUGGACCCGAAGCGG